CGCUUCGAGGAGCGCUGCAACGGGCCUUUUGCCCGCCAGGCUCGAAGACGGGGCGCUAUUUGCACAACGGCGCUCACUCAAG
rnacentral:ncRNA from 2 species